rnacentral:SRP_RNA from 1 species
GAGAGGUUGGCGCGGGCAGGUGCCUCGCCAACCCGGUCAGGACCGGAAGGUAGCAGCCGUAACGAGAUCCGCUUGGGUCGCUGUCCAGCCUCUCACC